rnacentral:rRNA from 1 species
CCUACGGGUGGCAGCAGUGAGGAAUAUUGGUCAAUGGACGUAAGCCUGAACCAGCCAAGUCGCGUGCGGGAUGAAGGUUCUAUGGAUCGUAAACCUCUUUUGUAAGAGAAUAAAGUGUGGGACGUGUCCUGUUUUGUAUGUACCGUAUGAAUAAGGAUCGGCUAACUCCGUGCCAGCAGCCGCGGUAAUACGGAGGAUCCGAGCGUUAUCCGGAUUUAUUGGGUUUAAAGGGUGCGUAGGCGGCCUUUUAAGUCAGCGGUGAAAGUUUGUGGCUCAACCAUAGAAUUGCCGUUGAAACUGGGAGGCUUGAGUAUGUUUGAGGCAGGCGGAAUGCGUGGUGUAGCGGUGAAAUGCUUAGAUAUCACGCAGAACCCCGAUUGCGAAGGCAGCCUGCCAAGCCAUGACUGACGCUGAUGCACGAAAGCGUGGGGAUCAAACAGGAUUAGAUACCCGGGUAGUC